rnacentral:rRNA from 1 species
AGUGAACGCUGGCGGCAGGCCUAACACAUGCAAGUCGAACGGUAACAGGGAUCGGCUUGCUGAUUCGCUGACGAGUGGGGGAGGGGGGUGUGAUGUCCGUGGAACUGUCUUAUUUAGGGGGGUAACUACUGGAGACGCUAGCUCAUACCGCAUAUCCUCGCAACAGCAAAGAGCGGGAGCUCUGCGCCUCUUGCCAUCUGGAGUGCCCAGAUGGGAUUAGCUAGUAGGUGGGGUAACGGCUCACCCAGGCGACGAUCCCUAGCUGGUCUGAGAGGAUGACCAGCCACACUGGAACUGAGACACGGUCCAGACUCCUACGGGAGGCAGCAGUGGGGAAUAUUGCACAAUGGGCGCAAGCCUGAUGCAGCCAUGCCGCGUGUAUGAAGAAGGCCUUCGGGUUGUAAAGUACUUUCGGCGGGGAGGAAAAGAGUAAGGUUAAUACCUCUGCGUACUGACGUUACCCGAAGAAUAAGCACCGGCUAACUUCGUG